UAAAGCAACAUUCAAGCAAAAAAGCAAAAUUAGUAUACCAACUCACUAGUUCAGUUUCACUAGAUAGAAAGCAUACAUGACACACAGCAUUGCAUUCUUAAUUACGUACACACCACAAGACUGGAGAGGAAGGACUAUCAUCGUACAGACGCCAUAGAUGUCUCAAAACAUCUUUAUUCUUAGCACUUAUUAACUAGGAUGCAUUUCUUCAGUCUCAGGUCUUAGAUCACAAACUCACAGAGGAAACACAAAGUUACAGUGACAACAACUCAUCACUCGUAACUGGAUCAUACUACUAGAUUAGCAGUACUAGGUCCUUCCAUCUCCUUGGUUUCCUGAUCAGGAGGUUGCUUGCUUCAACUUGCCGCAGUUGCAGGGGUUGCAGGUGCAGUUGUCGCCGCACUUGCACCCGUUCUCUGCUCCUGCUCCGGCGGCGGCGCCGGCCUCCAACCCUUCGGCAUGACUGCAUCCAUCAGAGAAUUAACCAACCAUAGAUCAGUAAUUAAUUACUCCCUCCGUUUCUAAAUAUUUGACGCCGUUAACUUUUCUAAAUAUAUUUGACCAUUCGUCUUAUUAAAAAAAUUAAGAAAUUAUUAAUUAUUUUCCUAUCAUUUGAUUUAUUAUUAAAUAUACUUUAAUGUAUUCAUAUAGUUUUACAUAUUCCACAAAAUUUUUUAAAUAAGACAAAUAAUCUAACAUGUGUUAAAAAAUUAAUGGUGUCAAACAUUUAGAAACGAAGGGAGUAGAACUCAGCGAAACAUGAAACGAUCUUGGAUUGUUGCUACGCAGUUUUCAGAGUAAAAGGCAUAAUCGUUUUCUUCAGAUAAAGGAGAGAGUUUUUGUCAUAACGUGCAUGAAGUUUUUAGUCGUUUUUCAUUGGCUGUAGCUAGCGCUGCAAUUUUGUCAUACGUACACGUAAAAUGGAAGGCAGUGAGCCUCUCAACAAAAUGUUUUGUACUUUUGUUCUCUGUGAUUCAGAAGGGGAAAAAAGGCAGGAAACAUAUGAUAAUUGACAAAAGAGGUUGGUAGCUAGAAAGAUGGAGGUACUCAAUUCUGUUCUAUUAAAGUAUAUAUAUGGUAGUUAGAGUAGGAUAAGAUUGAUUUACGUGGACUUCUUCCAUAUCCGUAAUUCUUUCUUAUCUCUACACCAUGUACUUCUAUAUAUAGUGAUCCCUGAGACUCAAUACAACGGUGUCAAUAAUCACAAUAUUUCCCUCUCCUUAUACUAUUCAACAAAUUCAGUAAUAUAACACAUGGAUUUUGCCCAUGAACAACAAGUACAGGAUAUGAAGAAGGAAAGGAUUAGUGCACAUACCCCUUGGAAGGUGCAACACCCAUGAUGACAGUCUGGGUGGUGGUCACCUCCUCAGCCAUCCCCGGGUACAUCUUGCAUCUGCAUGUACAAAUAAUCAAUCAGUUUCCCAGGCAAGGAUGGCAAGACUGCUCUCGCCCCUCAACGUACGACAGAAUUUGCCACCAAUUUCAGUUUAUACCGACGAUGCGGUUCUGUUUUUCCGCCCUACAGCUGAAGAAGCUCGAGUCAUCAAGGGUAUCCUGGAGUUGUUCGGGGCUGCCACAGGUCUCAAAACCAAUUUCUCCAAAAGCGCAAUCACUCCAAUCCAAUGUGACGAGCAGCAGUAUGUGCAAGUUGAAUCCAUUCUCUCCUGCCGAGUGGAAAAGUUCCCAAUCACUUAUCUCGGACUCCCUCUCUCCACUAGGAAACCGACGAAGGCCGAGAUCCAGCCGAUCCUUGAUAGGCUGGCAAAGAAGGUAGCCGGUUGGAAGCCGAAAAUGCUGUCUAUUGAUGGGCGACUGUGCUUGAUCAAGUCGGUCCUAAUGGCGUUGCCGGUGCAUUACAUGACAGUCCUGCAGCUACCGCGAUGGGCGAUUAAGGACAUCGAGCGGAAGUGCCGCGGGUUUCUUUGGAAAAGGACAGGAAGAGAUCAGCGGCGGGCAUUGCCUAGUCUCGUGGCGAAAGGUUUGAUCACCCAUCGAGAAAGGGGGACUUGGUGUCAAAGAUCUUAAUUUGUUCGGUCAAGCUCUCCGGUUGAAAUGGCUUGCGAAAUCCUUGGAGCAGAAGGAUAGACCCUGGACCUUAGCAGCUUUCCGUCCUGGAAGCGAUGUGGAAGAGAUCUUUCGAUCCGUCGCUGAGCACAUCAUUGGUGAUGGGGUGGACACACAGUUUUGGACAGACAAUUGGACAGGGAAAGGUUGCUUCGCCUGGAGGUGGCCGGUGUUGUUUUCCCAUGUGAGCCGUGCCAAGCUGACAGUAGCUGAUGCCCUGAUUGCUAACAGAUGGAUUCGCCGAUUACAAGGUGCCCUGUCCAAUGAAGCUCUGGGUGAAUUCUUCCAACUUUGGGAUGAAGUUCGCGACGUGUCACUGCAGCAGAUGGCUGACACGAUCAAAUGGAAGUUGACUGCUGAUGGUAAUUUCUCAGUGGCCUCGGCGUAUGAUCUAUUUUUCAUAGCGACAGAGGACUGUUCCUACGGGGACACGCUGUGGCACUCCAGGGUGUCGUCGCGUGUUCGCUUCUUCAUGUGGAUUGCACUGAAGGGCCGCUGUCUCACGGCGGACAACCUGGCGAAGAGAAACUGGCCGCAUGACGCCAUUUGCUCCCUAUGCCAACGCGAGAACGAAGACUGCCAUCAUUUGCUUGUGUCCUGUGAUUAUACGGCGGCUUUGGCGCAAGCUGAGACGUUGGUGCAACAUUAACAUUGCAAUCACUGCGGAAGAUGUCAGGCCGCUUGCAGAUUGGUGGAUCGCGACAAGACGGCGUUUUCAGAACACAUACAGGACGGAUUUCGAUAGUCUGUUCAUGCUAAUUUGUUGGCUUAUCUGGAAAGAGCGAAAUACAAGGAUCUUUCAACACAUCGCCAAGUUGGUUGACCGGCUAGCGAAUGACAUCAACGAGGAAAUCGCAAUUUGGAGGGUAGCAGGGAUUUUUUCCCAGGCUAGCGAGUAAUCCCGAUUUGCCCCAUUUUUUCCUUUUCUUUCCGGGCUUGAGUUUGCUUGAGACCGGCGCGACAUCCUUCAUGUCGUUGUAAUUAAAACUUUGUUUCCCCCAAUCUUAAUGAAAUUGUUGUAAUUAAAACUUUGUUUCCCCCAAUCUUAAUGAAAUUGGCCAGCCUACUUUGGCCGUCCCGACAAAAAAUAAUCAAUCAGAAAUUCAGAGCCUAUUUCUUGUCUGUUAUAAGAAGAUGGGAUAAAAAAUGAAAUCAGAUCCUCAUCAGUCAUCUGCAUGCAUGCUCCUCGUUUUAUAACGGUGGAAGGGAGCUAAAUCAAAAUCUCCUAUCAUGAAUCUUUUUUUUCUCUCAACAAAGACCAUGUCAUGCAUGGCCAUCAUCUAAAAAAAGAUUUUUCUAUCAUGAACUUUUUCCUCUCAAGAAAGAUCAUCAUCAGAUUUGGCCACCAUCUAAAAAAAGAUUUGUUCACAGACUAUUGAGUCCAUAACAUGUUCUAUUAUCCAAAACAAAUCCAAGGAGAGGCACACAUAUGACACAUACAACAUGCAUGUCAUGAAUACAUACCAAGAUCAACAACAUGGACAAACAGAAAUCCUCUACAGAUCACAGCACACAAAAAACCCUAGCAAACGAACAAUAUCCCUUCCGAGAUCCAACGAAUUUUCAUCUAACCAACACCAAGACUAGACAGUUGAUAUACAUGGCAGAUCAAGAACAGAAAUUCAGAAGAUGGUGAUCGGAUCUUACCCUCCGCAGCCGCUGCCGCACUGGCAGCCGGAUCCGCAGCCGCAGUUUCCUCCGCAGCACGACAUCUUUCUUUCAAAGAUCAACACGGAUCGAUCGAACUGGGCAGUGGGCACUGAUCGCACAACACACGAGCACUCAGAAAAUCUGAAUAUCACCUUGGGCACCUGAACCACACACAGGAAGGGGGGCCGAGAGGCCGAGAGGGUUGCUACUUAUACAGAGGGAGGGAGGCCAUCCGCCGUACACGUGGCGCGCAUCGGGGGACCUGCCGUGACGUGGGAGUUGUGCGCCUUGGCCCAUCGUGGAUUUGGGGGUUGUGAACUGGUUUCUUCCCUUUUUAUCAAACGAUGUUAAUCGGUAUUUAAAUCAAUGAAGCCUUAUAUUGCAUGGGGACAGCUCACUUUCAAAACUAAUUUCACAUAUUGCAUCGGAUCACUUUCAAGACUAAUCGAAUAUAUGUGCAAAAUAUUUGUAUUGAGUACUGGGAAUGUCUAUUGGUCAUGCUAGCUGCUUAUAGUUUGGGCAUCCACAGCUCAAGAUAUUUACACGGAGGAGCCUACUGGACAAGGGCAUGUUCAGAGACUCGUUGGAUUUGAAAUCUGCACAAGUUCUCAGAGACUGCUCAGCCUGAAACAAUCUUGGAGAUAGCAUCACACUAUGGCUGCAAUUGAGGCAGCACUUGCACCCACCGUUCUCAGCUCCAGCAGUGGCAAAUUGAUGUUAGUCUUAACCUUGAGUAAGGCAACUUCACUUGAAGGGAUAUCUAGUUUUCGGCAGUGCUGACCAAGUUCUCAAUUUUUGCAUUUAGAUCAAGCUGAUGAAUUCAAGCUAUAAUUUCGGUAAACGGUGUUGCUUCCUGCUGUUAGGUCUGCACCAAGCUGCAUUUACCACUGGACUGCACUUUGAGUACCACUUGUUACCACAGAAAUUCAAUUGUUUCCUGUAACAUUUCAGGUACACUAGUACCACCGUUUCCUUGGCGCGCGCCACUCUUGACUCUACCACUGCAAGAAGAGCAACAAUAUGAAGGAUAUUUUGAUUGGGAGUAGUGAAAAAUCAUCACUAUAGCCAGAGUUUCAAAACAUGUACCACGGAUAACAAACCAUAGUACAAACAGAUCCCGGAAAGGAAACCAUUGAGACUAACAAAUGUAGUUUUUCUCACCUGCCUAAUUAUAGAGAGUUUCAUCUGGAAAGAUAUCCCUGCCAUCUGCACCAACUGUAACAACAUCGACUGCAAGUUGUUGGUCUUCUAGGAGGCACAUUCUGAAUUGCUUUGCAUUCUGGCAAUCAACCAUGUGGAGUCUCUUUAGUGAGAUUAGAUUCUCUGCCUGAUCCAGCGCUGGACAGUCCUGUGCAAACAAGUCCUGCAGAAUACAGAGAUUGGAAAUUCUCCUCAAACACCUGUUAUUCUUGACCUUGAGCCAUAACACUGAAGGAAGGUUGUCAAUUUCAUGCAGCGUGUGAGCACCUUCAAUGUGGAUUCUUCUUAAGUUAGCAAUCCUAUGCAAGUCUUCAGGGAGAGCCCUUAGUUUUGGGCAGCCAUUAAGAAACAGACGCUUAAGGCAAGGCAUCAGAACGAGCUGUUCAGAUCUACCACGCAAAUUCCCUGUGUUAAGAGACCAACUUUCCAAAUUGCUCAUAUCAAUGAUGUGAAGCAAUUUGAGCUUUGGGAAAAUAGUUAUAUGCGUGGCACUGCUGACGCCUUUUCCUAGGAGCUCUGAACCAAUAUUCACUACUGCAUCUGCACAUCUGAUCUGAAGAAUUAGUAGUUCUGGCAUCUGACCUGCUGGUGGAAGCUCAGAGCAUGAAAUGCACUCGUUGAGGUACAUAUGUCCCAAAUUUGGCAUCUUAUACUCUGGUUCUGAGCACAACCAAUCUGGGAACCUUACACCAGGAAACCCCUCAAAAAAUAAAUAAAUUAGGCUUGAUGAUGGACUUAGCAUCUCAUAGACUUGUUGAAUUCUCUCAAUCUCGUUCAUCUGGUAGUGGGUAAUAUCAUGAGUAUUAGCUCCCAUUGUGCAGCGAAACCACAGUUCUCGAAGACGAAGACUGUUCCUGAGUACAAAUGCACCCCCUGGCGUUGCUUUUUCUAGCUUUACAAUCCGGAGACGUUGGAUGUUGGGGAGACAUUGCAGUUCAUCUAGCCUGAAUCCAGAUGCACUCUCGAAAACUCCUUUAAGGUUGUAGAGUUUCUGAAACUUCGCGAUCCCUUUUGGAACAUGGUCGAUUCCAGUUUGUUCUAGCUCAAGGAAACUUAUGUUGGACAGUCUCAUCAAACUAGCUGGCAGGCUAUCCAAAUGUCUGCAACAGUGCAAAGAAAGGUAUUCAAGGCUGGUAAGAUUUCCUAUGGAUUCAGGGAGUUUUUUGAUUUUUGUAUAGCUUAGAUCUAGCAACCUCAGUAGCAACAAGUUUCCCACCGACUCUGGUAUGACUUGGAUGCUUGUUCCACUGAGAACUAAGACACGAAUAUGCUUGAGCUCUCUGAAAAUGUCCUUAUUAAUUGUCUUAAAGUUCUUGUUAUUAAAAAUUAGGAGGCUCCUCAAGCACUUCAGCUCUUCUAUAGCAGGUAUUUCUUUUACAUCAUUGCUUAUUACUAAGUGACGUAGAUUCAGUAAGGUUUUGCUAUUUUCCAUAUUCAUGAAUAAGGAAUGAUCCUUUGUCAAAAAUUGUCCAAGUGACCUCAAAAGAUCAUGCAUCGUUGACAUCCAUUUGUCAACAAACUCUGGUUUUGGCUGCAGAAGAUUCAUUCUAAUUAGCUCAUGGUAGUAUUCUUCUGCGGCUUCAUGUAUUGAGUACCCAUGCAUUUUCGUCACAAAGCCUUCAGCGACCCACCAGUAAGCGACAGCAUCACGAUGGAUCCCAAAAUUUGAUGGUAACAAAGCACACCAGAGAAAGAAUUGCUUAAGUUCAGGAGGUAAGUUGCUGUAGCUUAAGUACAGAGGACCUCCUAGUUCUUUGGGAAGUCCAUGAAUAGACCAUUUGCUAUCUCGGAUGCUCUCCCAUUCUGCCUUUGUUUUCUUACUAGAUAGGACACCUGCAACAACUUUGAUGGCAAGAGGAAGGCCAUCACACUUUUUGACAAUUUGAUACCCAACACCACUGAAUUCUCUUCUUUGCUCGUAUGGCCCUAAUGACAUCUUCAUCAGCAGUUCUAGGCCAUCGUAAUCAUUCAUUUUGUUUACCCUGUGGGUAUAAGUUGCAUGCAUUUCGACCAAAACAUCCAGGUUUCUUGAGGUCACAAGGAUACGAGAAUUCAAGCCUCUCUCGGAAGGCGAUCGAAGAAGAUCAAUCCAUACAUCAGAUUUCCAAACAUCAUCCAGCACAAGAAAAACACUCUUCCCUCUAAUAGUGUCCACUAGAAGCGGUAGAAGCUCAGUCUUAGUCUCCAGCUGAUCACAAAUUCCUCCAGCCAUUCUUAUUGCCUGUUUUAACAAACUGGUCUCUGUGUAAUUCUGAGAAAUACACAACCAUAUAUGAACUUGGAAUUUCUCCCUUAUCCUCUGUUCAUUGUAUAUCUUUUGAGCUAAUGUUGUCUUACCGAUGCCUCCCAUCCCCUGGAUCCCAAAAACAGUUGACCUGUUGUCAUUGUAGUUACUAACAAUCAUUUUGACCAUGUCAUCAACAGCCCUUCUGAUAUCUUCUCCAACAACCUCAAGUUCAUCUACAGGAGAUGUCUGACUUCUGUCAACAAUUGUUAUCUGGACUUGUUGCCGGUUGGUUCUCUCGAAGCCAAACAUCUCUUUGUUCAUUUUAAUUUCUUCAAACUUUUCAUUUAUAUUAUCGAUUCUUUUGGCAAUCCUGUGAUCAAAUGAAAACUUUGCAAAGCUAGAGAACAAGGGCUGAUUGCAACAUACCGGCCUUGGUGGCAGCAAAAACUUCUGUGAAUGAACCAUGAAAAGAUCCACGAUGUCAUCGACAUCAAACAUAACAUUUCUCAUGUUCUUCCACCAUGAAUCUAUCCCUGGAUCCUCCAUGGCCAGAGCCUCAGCAUCCUCACGAACAGCGUUGAAGAAUUCCAGAUUUUUCUUCAGGCUCUCAAUACCCCUUUUCACACUUAAUGUCAUGAUAACCUCAUCCUCAAUAAGCUGACCCAGCUUUUCCAAGAAUUUCCAAGCGAGAGCAUCCAAAACUGUGCCCAUAGUGCUAGAACCGGGAUUCCCGCUGGAUCUCUCCAAUGGGAGAUGCUUGAAACUGCAGAUCCCAGAACAGAUAUCUCACAGAGCUGCAGAUCACUUAAAUACGGAAGAUGGAAAGAGAUAUUGAAGCAGUGUGGCUAAAGCCUGAUGAGAACGGAGAGGGCAAUGCAGAUUGCAGAGGAGAGCUGUUAUAGAUUCUCCUCCCUUUCUUGCCACCAACUGCCUUUGUCCCAACAGACAUUGACAUUCUCUAUUGCAAAACGUCUGAAAAACCUGAAAAAAAAAUUAAAAUAGUAUGAAAGUACUUUUUGAGGCAGAAUCUGCCCAUAAAGAUUUUUGUAUUCAAAUCUAAAUGUUUCAACGAUGAUGCAAUGUGAAAAAGGGCAAGUAGUGUUACAAAAUUGCAAGGCGAUUCAAGUUGAAAGCUCUUCCAGGCUGUGUAUUCUUUUCCUUUCAUCCCCUUGACAAUAAUAAUUUGAUUUUAUUGCAGCAAAGGAGCCACUUGGUGCUUUACUUUCUUUUCCUGUUUACCACCUAAGAAGCCUGGAAGCACUGGAGCAGAGUUCUCUUUUUUUCAGGAAUAUGCAACAAAAAAAAUAUAUUUAUAUUGGCAUUAAGGUUGGGUAAAACAAGGUUCAGAGAAAAUGAUACAUUAGAUCACCAGAGUGCAGACAGCAGACCGAAGGAAAAAAUAGAGUCAAACAGGUGCUGGCCGGUGCUGGGCAUGCAACCGCACGCAGGAAUCUACUGGGCAUUUCGUCAAACAGCUCAUCUGCGCCCCAACCAUUUGUUGCAAAGUCCAAGUUUCAGAGCUUAGAGAAAACAUCGAAAGGAACUCAUCCCAUUCGCAUCAGUCGCGUUGCACAUAAUCAAGUCAGAAAAGAAAAAAAAUAUGAUGGUUGAUUACCUACGCAAGAAAGAGAGAUGCUUCUCCUAGCGAAACCAAAGACGGCGACAACGACCCACAAGCAAAGAUAAGCAGGGCCUAGGUCGAACUGAGCCUGGAUCAGGAUCACAUCGCAUAACUCCAGUAUAAACAAAGAGCAAAUUCUCUGAUUCAUCUCGCACGUAACGUAACGUAACGAAUGGGGCGCUCGGGGAGAGCGAUGCGCGAAUGGCGUUCGAUGAAAUGCCCCUCCAAGUUCAACAGGCGCGUCCAGGCCAAUCGAUUUUGUUUUACUUUCUGAAUUGGGCCCUGUCGCGAAGACUGCGACCUGAAUUGGGCCGUAAGCCCGUAACCUAAGCUCUACGCCGAAGGAAAGCCCAAACUCUAAAAACUCCUCCACCACCGCGCGGCGGGAAACCCGCUCCUCCCCACUCCGUUCCCGCGCACAUUUUUUCGGCAUCCCACCCGUCGAUUUUUUCCGGCAUCCAACGUCGUACAUCCCUCCACGUCAUCGAUCCGCGCCGCGUGCCUUCCACCAAUCAGGGCGCACGUCCCCUCCUCUACAAAACCAUCUUCCCCCGUCUCCUUUCCCCACGCCGCAAUCUCGCGAAUCCCACCGCUUCCCUUUCCUCUCCUCUCCUCUCCCCGGGAAGAAGACAGCAGCGGCAUCCAUGGCGCCCAAGGCAGAGAAGAAGCCGGCCGCGAAGAAGCCCGCGGAGGAGGAGCCCGCGGCGGAGAAGGCCGAGAAGGCCCCCGCGGGGAAGAAGCCCAAGGCGGAGAAGCGUCUCCCCGCCGGCAAGGCCGAGAAGGGCAGCGGCGAGGGGAGGAAGGCGGGGCGGAAGAAGGCGAAGAAGAGCGUCGAGACCUACAAGAUCUACAUCUUCAAGGUGCUCAAGCAGGUCCACCCCGAUAUCGGCAUCUCCUCCAAGGCCAUGUCCAUCAUGAACUCCUUCAUCAACGACAUCUUCGAGAAGCUCGCCGGGGAGUCCGCCAAGCUCGCCCGCUACAACAAGAAGCCCACCAUCACCUCCCGCGAGAUCCAGACCUCCGUCCGCCUCGUCCUCCCCGGCGAGCUCGCCAAGCACGCCGUCUCCGAGGGCACCAAGGCCGUCACCAAAUUCACCUCCGCUUAGGCUUCACCCCUGCAUCUAUCUAUGUGUUAGUUUUAGUGCUAUCGAUGAUUGGAAAAUGGAUGUUAGAUCGUUAGUUUGGUAGUCAGAUGUCAGUGAUCUGGAACAGUAGCUCUGAUUUUAAACCAUGUGAAUGUGAUUCCUGGGUAUGUGAUGUUUGACCGCCUUGUGUCUGCUGGUCAACGAGUGAUAACUAGAUCUAAUUUUUGUGGAACUAUUUACAUGGUUGCUACUUGCAUUCUGUUCAACUGUUGUAAAUUCCUCUGUCACUCGUUGGAGUUUUAUUCUCUGGAGCAUGUGUGGAAUUGCCUGGGCAUGCUUUUGGGAAACUAUAGUCUGUAGUCCUAUGUUAUGUUUGGUUAAUUGGUUGCCCUGAGCUUGUUGGAAUUAAUCUAUGUAUAAUUUUGUGCAAUUACAUCCUGUGAGUAUGUUGCUAUUUGCAUUGUCUUGCAAACUCCUUUGUAUGCCACAGGAAUUUAAUUUCUGGAGCAUGGAUGUUUGGAGUUUGAUACUGUUCAAGUGCUUAUUGGCCCAUGUAGUUUAUAAGUACGAGUAGGUUUCAUCUAAGGACACUUUCUAAAAGAAGAGUUGUGAAUUGGUUAGUAUAUAGUAUGACAACUUGGCCAUCACCGUUCUAUUUUAGCUGAUAACUUUGACAUCUGAAGUAAGUUUUGCUUUACCUUAGUACUGUACUGUUUCAACUUUCAAAGAAGUUUAAUUGGAAAUAGUAACUGAAACACCGGAACCGUAAGUAUUUUGCUUGCUAUUGCAGGAUGCUGCUACACUAGCCUGUUUCCUCAUUUAUGUUCCGAAGGUCUAAUGAAGGUUCUCUCUUUGUUCUUGAUUAGCUUGUAAGCUAACUGGCAAGCAUGAGGUAUGCACUAAACUGCUGCAUCUUCUAUCAAAGCUUGCUGUUGGAGUUGUUGCUCUGCAGGAUAUGCCAUGUGUGAAGAUGAUGACCAAACUCUUGUGGACUCUAGAAUCUUAUAAUGUUAUCCUUUGGUUCUUUGUCCAAACUCUUGUGGACUCUAGAAUUUUUAUUGGUAUUGUUUAAUUUUGCAUUACAGUAGUAGCCAGAUAAUAUGGUGUUUCAUUAUUAAAAUUUAUUAAAGGAAACAAUUUUAACCAACUUACUAAACUAUCACAUGUUCAAUUUGUGAGUAUCUCAUGCAAAAGUAAUUUAUUGACCUCACAGUGCUUACACUCUAAACAAAGUUACUAAACUUUUACUUUUGGUAAUAUAAGUACUAUUAGAUUUAUUGUUGUAAUAAAAUUACUUGCUCAUAUUGCUAUUGCUUAAGUGCUACUUCGCAGUUUGUAUAGGAAAGCUAAAAGGAUAGCAGAAGAACUUGAGAAUGUCCAUUAACUACCUGAAACACAUUAUCUAUGUUGUAUGUGUAAAAUAUCUAUAUAUUUAUAAAAAAUCAUUUUAGGAACAAUUUCUACAAAUAUGAUAAUAUAAAAUUCAACUUAUAUUUUAAAAAAUAUGCAUUCUAGAUUUUCUCUAUUUUAAACUUAUGCUUCUUUCUACAAUGCAAGUGAUCUAGGAAUUACUACUACAACAUAGUGUAUCUUCUAGUUUUUACAACAAUAUGUUGACACGCCAAUCCACUACGCCAUUGUUAUUGAAUGAGAACUUCUUAUGUUGAAAGACAUGAUUCACUCUUUGUGGAAAAGUAAAAAACUAUGUAUCAAUAUUGAAAAUUUCUUGGGAUCCCCCAGUACAUGCCCCUUGGGCCUAUUUAUAGGCUUAGUGCAGGCUCAUGUGCCCUAGGGUUACUAAGUACAUGGGAAUUUACAUGAUUACCCUUACAAUAGGGACAUUUAUGAGGAUAAUUAUAGACAAUUUAUCCUUGGGCCUCUUCUUGGGCCGCCAAGUGGGCCUCCAUUGGUUGGUUGGCCCCCUCGGGCCUUGAAUCCCUCGGCUUGGGGGCGAAGGUCUUCGGCUUCGCUCGACGAUUUGCCCAGAGCCUCUGUCUUUGUGACAUUUGGCGUUUUGCUGUCGUGCUUCGUCCUAGCGAUUGUAGACUUGUUUCGGCAGGCUCGGUUGAAGGCCCUCGUGACAUGCCUCCAACAGCCAUGCUACGCACCAUAUCAAUUUUUAAGUACAGGAACAAUCAUUCAUUCAUAUGAUGCAUAAGAAAUUAACAGUUAUGUGACUUUGAAGACCAUCAAGAGCUUGAUCGGGAUCUGAGCCAAUAAAAGCAUUGUGGACAUCUAAAAGCUUGAGGCAAAAAUUUUGGCCAACCUAAAAGCAGUUCAUAUGUUUGAUCAAGUUUAGGAAUGUACCUUGAGUGCUUUAUGUUUAGCGAUGCAUUGAUAAAAUAAUAAAGAUCAGGCAUAGGGGUGUAAGUGGGUGUUAACGAAAAAUCCGCGCUUUGCUAAUGGUGCCAGAAUUGUAUUGGCGCGAACUAAGUCGACGAACAUAACGGCCCUAGGAGAUCUGUUUAGCUCUAGUGCAGGUCCAAAGCUUGUAGAGAUGCGGGCAUGCCAGUCAGUUUGAUCCUGCAACUAACUAGAUAUAUAAAUAUGUUGAUCACCAAAGAGCUGAUCGGCUGACGAGUCGAUCGAGCGAUACUAGCCGAUGCCGAUAGCAACCGAUGUCGAUAGAGUUUUGAGCAAUCGACUAUAUGUCCAAUGUAGAGUCUGAUACUUGAGUAAAUAAUGAUAUAAAGAUAAUUGGCUGAUGAUAAUGUAAUAAAACAACAAUAUAAUCCAAUAAAAACCAAUCGGCUAACAAUGAUAUGAUAGAAUAAGUGACCCGAUGGUUAAAGCAUACAUCGGCUAGUGGUAUGAUGUCAUUAAUUAAAUCCAAAUGAUUAGAUAAACAGUGAAAUCUUUGUUACAAUCUGCUAAAAACAACUUGUAUGCAAUCUUUGUAAGCCGAUACAACGUCUAGAUAACUCAUUGGCUGAAUCCUCGAUGAAACCCUUAUUAUAAUCAAAGACAGGUUAGCGUUUAGGAUUCUAAGCACGACUAGGGAUGAUGCAUCGCAAAGUAUGCAAAGAAACAUAAAGUCUAAACAAUCAAGCCUUUGACUAAUUUUCAGGGUGGUGGAUAUCUUAGUUAAUCUAAUCUAGCAAGAUACUUUAGCCGAUACCAGUAUAAAACCUAAAACGAAUCUCAGCCGAUAUGAUCAAAUUAAGAUGCUAAAUUAGAUUAACUAAGAUAUAUGAUAAAUAGGUAGGCAAACAUAUCAACCGAACCAGAGCAAUCCAAGAGGUCAAAGCUAUGCAGCCUUGAACCACGCCAAUGUAGCCAAUACAAUUGCCAGAGCUAGCAGAACGUAGUACUUACCCCGUCGGAUGAUAAGUAAAAACCUUGGUAAAGAGGGUGGCGAUGCGCCGAAAGUAAUUGUAUUGAUCGAGAGAUAGUUUACAAUGUCUCUGGGUGUACAUAUUUAUACCCAUGGGUAGAUACUAGUCCUUGUUGGACAAGAAAAAAACAUUCCUAAAGAUAAAAGGAAAACAUAAUGUCCUUAUCGGACACUAAACACAUUUUUCUAAAGAUAAAAGGAAACUAACAGACUCUUUCUAAUUAAUAGAUAACUUGCCAUGAUGCAUCAUCCUUAAACUCGGUCUUUUCUGGAUAAGCUUAAUUGAAUAUAUUAAUUUUCUUAAUCGAAUAUAGCAAGAUUCCGACUAUUGGCGACUUGAUAGUUUCCAUCGGCCGAUUAUAGGACUCUGAAACCGAUACUGACUCUAGGCCGAUGAUGACUUCGGGGCUUGCCAAAUUUCACUGUUUACAGUGGGUCAACCGUGAACCCACUUAUAGGUCAAAAUAAGCAGGUUCGUGGCUUAUUUUAGCCUAUAAGUGGGUUUUGUGGGCUAGCCACUUACACCCCUAAUCAGGCAUGGACGAGAAGUUUAUAUCUCAUUAAGAACCACAUUUUCACUGUCACCUGCAGGGAUACUAUUGAUCUGGGUAACAGAAAAAAAAUCGCAGGACAAGAUUAUACAAGAAAUAUCAAAUAUAUUGAAAAUAACCGACAACUUCUUAAUAAAUAAGCUGAUUGGACACCUUGAAAAUCCUGAAGUACACAGAAUCCCCAUUCUCUGUGAACACGUAUAGAUCUGAAGUUGUUGACUCAUGUUCUUGUAGUGGAGAAAACAUCUGUUUAAUAAUGUCACAUAUGGCAUUUAUAUCCGCGCUGAAGGCUGAACCAAACAAAAAUAAGCAUUAAACACAAUAAGUUCUUACCAUCAUUAGCAUAUCCUUCACAAGAGCCCAAGUUUCAUCACCAACAAAAUUGGAUGAAAAUCAAAGUAAAGGAUUUGUUACUUUCAACUCUAUACUUUCAUCUAGGAAUGCUGCAAAAAAAAAUUAUUAUAUAAAUAUCUUCAAGUAAAAAAUCAUCAUAAUUAUCAAUAUCAUAAUUAAUAUUACCAAUUGGAUAAUAUAAGUGUAUUUGGGUUUUAUGAAACGUUUUGCAACAAUAUCGGGUGUUCUUUGAAACAAAUUACAAAACCUGGGAUUUUGAGUGAGGAAUGCUCCAAACUUAGGGUUUUGAAAAUUUUACUCUUAUUUAUUUUUUCUGUAAUUACUAUUAUUUAAAAUUGGCAAAAAAAAAUUACCUGGAUUUAUAAGAAAUGAUAUGUGAAUUUCUUUCAAUGUAUUGAACAUAUGGCAAAUCAUCUUCUGAUCACCUUCUGCCUACUGCCAUAAGAAAAAAAAGAUUACCUUAGAUGAAUGAAAAUAAUAUUACGCGUGUACACAAAAUAUACACAUUAUUCAUUAUACUUCAAAGAAGAGAAAAAAGGUUGCAUCUGCUCCAUUUUUAGAAAGACGUUGACAAAUGUAUGCCUUUCCUUGACCAUCAUAAGGUAGAAGAAAUGAAAUGUCAUUCUAGAUAUCAACUGAAAUUGCAUUUUCUCUAUUUUAAUCGGGUUCGCCCUGGGCGUGUAGUCAUUCCCAGGGCAUGUGCAGCUGAAGCUGUUGUUGUAGCUGUAAAUCUUGUAAAGUUUGAACUUUCUCCCCUACUUAAAUAAACUUCGACCGGCUUUCGCACUGGUCCAGCGAAAAAAAAUGUAAUUGCAUUUUCAUACAUAUAUAUUUGUGUGUAUGUGUUCUGAAAGAACCUUCAAAUGAGGUUAAGCGUAUAAGCGACAACUACAUUCAAUCCACUAGGCCUUAAUUAUAUCUACUUCGGUUGAUUAUACCGAUACGAAGAGUUUGGUUUCCCUCAAUCCUAAUAACAUUAGAUUUGCCUCCUUGGUUCAUACCAGCAAAAGAAAGCAGAUAAUCGAAUUUUGAUCCAAUUUUUGCAUAUGAAUUUAAUCCACUCUAACAUCCUCUCAAAAAGUGAACUCUAAUAUAAUUACCCCCUUCUCUUCCUUUACUUUUUUCCCCCUUGACUCCUAUUGUUGUAUUUGAAUCCUAUCUUUCUAUAAAGUUAAAGCCCACUACAUCUUAAAGCUCAACAUGCAAAGAUGCUAUAUCAUCACUAACAUUUACUACAUCUCAAAUCUCAUGUAGGCAUGCUAAUUUAUUAAGUUUUAGAGCUUUAAAAUGCAAGCAUGUUAAUUAAAUUAUUAUCCCACAUAAUCCACAUAAUAUUUCAAUAUACCUCUCCUUCACUUUUUAUAAUAUCCUAUAUGCUUAUAUAGUUAAUUAAAAUUUUAGAGCUUAAAAAAAUCCAAGCAUGUUAAAUCAUCAUUUCACAUAAUUCUCAAAAUAUUUCAAUAUAUCUCUCCAUCAUUUUGUAUAAUAUCUAUAUACCAAUACAAUUCAUUCUCACAUAGUUAAUGUUAUUUCUUUCUUCUUUCAUUAAGCUAUAUCACCUCAAUUGUUUCUAACGCUCAAAUGAUUAAUUUAUGGUUGGAAUUAUCUUCCUCAUUUUUUUCUUUCAUAAAGCCACAUCAUAUUACUUUUAAAUUUGGGUCAUCAUUCUGUAUACUAUUUAAAUUAUUAUAAACCACAUCAACUUAUGCAAGUUUCUAUCAUCUAGCUAUCUUACACAUUAUUUAUAUUUCUUAUUAUCAUACCAAACUCCCGCAGCAACGCGCGGGGUUUCAUCUAGUUAUAUUAUAUUUUACUGCCAUACCUGUGCCUUCUCUUUCUUACUGCACUGAAUAUAUGAAAUUGAAAUUGAGGCCACAGGAAGUUUGUAUGGCUGAAUAUGAGGCACUUCCAAGGGUUCAUCACCCUUGUCUCAAGAGUUCAAUUUAAGUACAAGCAAAACCCACUAUUUAAGCCACUAAAAGAAAAAAACAGAAUUUAAAUGGCACAAUCGGGGUAAGAGGAUUAUUGGUUAUGUCACCCCACAUAACUGAAACAGAUGUACUUCGAUCGUUGUUUAUCACACCCAGUUCUUGCAUAUUCCAAGUUUAACAUGUUGAUCGAUCUGAAGUCCUGAAAAGUAUUUGUAUUGAGUACUGGGAACGUCUAUUGGUCAUGCUGUUCAAGAUAUUUACAUGGAGGAGCCCAACGGACAAGAACAUGUUCAAAAACUCGUUGGAUUUGAAAUCUGCACAAGCUCUCAGAGGCUGCUCAGCCUGAAUCAGUCUUGGAGAUAGCAUCACACUAUGCUGCAAUCGAGGCAGCAUUUACACCCACCGUUCUUACCUCCAGCAGUGGCAAAUUGAUGUUAGUCUUAACCUUGAGUCAGGCAACUUCACCUGAAGGGAUAUCUAGUUUUCGACAGUGCUGACCAAGUUUCCAAAUUUUUGCAUUUAUAUUAAGCUGAUGAAUUCAAGCUAUAAUCUCGGUAAACGAUGUUGCUUCCUUCUGUUAGGACUGCACCAAGCUGCAUUUACCACUGGACUGCAUUUUGAAUACCAUUGGCUACCACUUACCACAGAAAUUGAAUUGUUUUCCUGUAACAUUUCAGGUGCACUAGUAUCACCAUUUCCUUAAGUGCGCUCCACUCUAGUACUGCAAGAAGAGUGACAAAAUGAUUAAAUGAAGGAUAUUUUGAUUGUAAAUAGUUUAAAUUAUGAUGUCUCGGUGCAAUAGCCAGAAUUACAAAAACAAAAGAUAAACCAAACCAUAGUACAAACAGAAUCAAAGGAAAAGAUCGAGACUAACAAAUAAAUGUAGUAGAACUUCCUCUAAUAAUUUGUAGAGUAAAUUGCUCACCUGCCUAAUUAUAGAGAGAUUCAUCUGGAAAGAUAUCCCUGCCAUCUGCACCAACUGUAACAACAUGGACGGCAAGUUGUUGGUCUUCCAGGAGGCUCAUCCUGAAUUGCUUCGCGUUGUGGCAAUCGACCAUGUAGAGUCUCUUUAGUGAGAUUAGAUUCUCUGCCUGAUACAGCGCUGGACAGUCCUGCGCAAGCAAGUCCUUUAGAUUACAGAGAUUGGAAAUUCUCCUCAAACACCUGUUGUUCUUGACCUUGAGCCAUAACACUGAAGGAAGGUUGUCAACUUCUUGCAGCGUGUGAGCACCUUCGAUAUGGAUUCUUCUUAAGUUAGCAAUCCUAUGCAAGUCUUCAGGGAGAGCCCUUAGUUUUGGGCAGUCGUUAAGAAACAAACGCUUAAGGCAAGGCAUCAGAACAAGCUGUUCAGAUUUGCCACACAAAUUCCAUGUGUUGAGAGACCAACUUUCCAAAUUGCUCAUGUUAGUGAUGAGAAGCAAUUCGAGUUUUGGAAAAAUAGUUAUAUGCUUUGCGCUAUUGACGCCUUUCCCUAGCAGCUCUGCACCCAUAUUCACUAUUGCAUCUGCGCCUUUAAUCUUAAAAACUAGCAGUUCUGGCAUCUGGCCUGCUGGUGGAAGCACUGAACAUGAAGUGCAGUCGUUGAGGUGCAUAUGACCCAAAUUUGGCAUCUUACGCUCUGGUUCUGAGCACAACCAAUCUGGGAACCUUACACCAGGGAACCCGACAAGAAAUAUAUACAGUAAGCUUGGCGAUGGAAUUAGCAGUUCGUAGACUUGCUGAAUUCUCUCAAUCUCGUUGGUCUGAUAAUAAGUUUUAUCAUGACCUCCGAUUGUGCAACCGAGCCACAAUUCUCGAAGAUGAAGACAGUUCUUGAGUACAAAUGAACCCCCUGGUGCUGCUUUUUCUAGCUUCACAAUCCGGAGACGUUGGAUAUUGGAGAGACAUUGGAGUUCAUCUAGUCUGAAUCCAGUUCCACUGUCAAAAACUCCUCUAAGGUUGUAGAGUUGCUGCAACUUUGCAACUCCUUUUGGAACAUGGUCGAUUGCAGUCUGUUCUAGCUCUAGGAAACUUAUGUUCGACAGUCUCAUUAAACUAUCUGGCAGGCUAUCCAAAUGUAUGCAACCAUGCAAAGAAAGGUAUUCAAGGCUGGUAAGUUUUCCUAUGGAUUCUGGGAGUUUCUGAAUUUUUGUAUAGCUUAGAUCUAGAAGCCUCAGUAACAAGAAGUUUCCCACUGACUCUGGUAUGAUUUGGAUGCUUGUUCCACUGAGAACUAAGACACGGAUAUGCUUGAGUUCUCUGAAAAUGUCCUUAUUAAUUUUCAUGAAGUUUUUGUUAUCAAAAACUAGGAGGCUCCUCAAGCACUUUUGCUUUUCUAUAGCAGGUAUUUCUUCUACAUCAUUGCUGAUACAUAAGUGGCGUAGAUUUGGUAAGGCUUUGCUAUAUUCCAUGUUCAUGAAUAUGGAGUGAUCCUUUGUCAAAAAUUGACCAAGUGACCUCAAUAGAUCAUGCAUUGUUGACUCGCCUUUGUCUACAAACUCUGGUCGUGGCUGCAGAAGAUUCCUUCUGAUUAGCUCAUGGUAGUACUCUUCAGCAACCUCAUGUAUUGAGUACCCAUGCACUUCCGUCACGAAACCUUCAGCAACCCACCAGUAAGCGACAGCAUCACGACGUAUCACAAAAUUUGACGGCAACAAAGCACACCAGAGAAAGCAUUGUUUAAGUUCAGGGGGUAAGUUGCUGUAGCUUAAGUACAGAGGGCCUCCUAGUUCUCUGGGAAGUCCAUGAAUGGACCACUUGCUAUCUCGGAUACUCUCCCAUUCUGCCCUUGUUCUUUUAGUAGAUAGAACACCUGCAACAACUUUGAUGGCAAGAGGAAGGCCAUCACACUUUUUGACAAUUUGAUAUCCAACACCACUGAAUUCUCUGCUUUGCUCGUAUGGCCCUAAUGACAUCUUCAUCAGCAGUUCUAGGCCAUCGCAAUCAUUCAUUUUGUUUACCUUGUGGGUAUAAGUUGCAUGCAUUUCAACCAAAACAUCCAGGUUUCUUGAGGUCACAAGGAUAUGAGAAUUCAAACCUCUCAAGAAAGGCAAACGAAGAAGAUCAAUCCAUACAUCAGAUUUCCAAACAUCAUCCAGCACAAGAAAAACACUCUUCCCUCUAAUAGUGUCCACUAGAAGCGGUAGAAGCUCAGUCUUAGUCUCCAGCUGAUCACAAAUUCCUCCAGCCAUUCUGAUUGCCUGUUUUAACAAACUGGUCUCUGUGUAAUUCUGAGAAAUGCACAACCAUAUAUGAACUUGGAAUUUCUCCCUUAUCCUCUGUUCAUUGUAUAUCUUUUGAGCUAAUGUUGUCUUACCGAUGCCUCCCAUCCCCUGGAUCCCAAAAACAGUUGACCUGCUUUCAUUGUAGUUACUACUAACAAUCAUUUUGACGAUGUCAUCAAUAGCCCUUCUGAUAUCUUCUCCAACCACCUCAAGUUCAUCUACAGGAGAUGUCUGACUUCUGUCAACAAUUGUUAUCUGGAUUUGUUGCCCGUUGGUUCUCUCCAAGCCAAACAUCUCUUUGUUCAUUUUAAUUUCUUCAAACUUUUCAUUUAUAUUAUCAAUUCUUUUGGCAAUCAUGUGAUCAAAUGAAAACUUUGCAAAGCUAGAGAACAAGGGCUGAUUGCAACAUACCGGCCUUGGUGGCAGCAAGAGCUUCUGUGAAUGAACCAUGAAAAGAUCUACGAUGUCAUCGACAUCAAACAUAACAUCUCUCAUGUUCUUCCACCAUGAAUCUAUCCCUGGAUCCUCCAUGGCCAGAGCCUCAGCAUCCUCAUGAACAGCGUUGAAGAAUUCCAGAUUUUUCUUCAGGCUCUCAAUACCCCUUUUCACACUUAAUGUCAUGAUAACCUCAUCCUCAAUAAGUUGACCCAGCUUUUCCAAGAAUUUCCAAGCGAGAGCAUCCAAAACUGUGCCCAUAGUGCUAGAACCUACGGAUUCCCACUGGAUCUCUCCUAUGGGAGAUGCUUGAAACUGCAGAUCCCAGAAGAGAUAUCUCACAGAGCUGCUGAGUGCCGAUCACUUAAAUACGGAAGAUGGAAAGAGAUAUUGAAGCAGUGUGGCUAAAACCUGAUGAGAACAGAGAGGGCAAUGCAGAUUGCAGAAGAGAGCUGUUAUAGAUUCUCCUCCCUUUCUUGCCACCAACUGCCUUUGUCACAAUGGACAUUGACAUUCUCUAUUGCAAAACGUCUGAAAAACCUGACAAAAUUAAAACAGUAUGAAAGCACUUUUUGAGGCAAAAUCUACCCACAAUGAUUUUUGUAUUAAAAUCCAAAUGUUUCAACGAUGAUGCAAUGUGAAAAGGACAAGUAGUGUUACACAAUUGCAAGGGGAUUCAAGUUGAAAGCUCUUCCAGGCUGUGUAUUCUUUUCCUUUCAUCCACUUGCUAAUAAUAAUUUGAUUUCAUUGCAGCAAUGGCGCCACUUGGUGCUUUACUUUCUUUGCCUGUUUACCACCUAAGAAACCAGGAAGGCCAUGGUGCUUCUCUACCUGCACUAGCAAGAAGACCCAAAGAAGUGUACUUUUUAAGCGAAUUUAGCUGACUGUUACCAGCAGAUUUUGCAUCAACCAAUACAGGAAUCCUAUGCCAAAGCCUUUAUAAGUCUAGUUAAAAGCACCGGAGCAGAGUUCUCCUUUUUUCAGGAAUAUGCAGAAAAUCUUUUGCAGAGUUCAGAGAAAACAAGGUUCUCUGAAACAAGGUUAAGAGAAAACAGGAAUAUGCAGAGUUCUCUUUAUGCAUCUUUGCAUUAAGAUUGGGUAAAACAAGGUUAAGAGAAAAUGGUACAUUAGAUCACCAGAGAGCAGACACCAUACUAAAGGAAAAAUAGAGUCAAACCGCCGCUGGGCAUGCAACGCACGCAGGAAUCUCCUGGGCAUUUCGUCAAACAGCUCAUCUGCACCCGAACCAUUUGUUGCAAAAGUCCAAGUUUCAGAGCUUAUAUAGAAAAAACAUCGAAAGGAACACAUCCCAUUCGCAUCACUCGGUGUUGCACAUAAUCAAGACACAAAAGAAAAAUUAAGAUAGUUGAUUACCUACGCAAGAAAGAGAGAUGCUUCUCCUAGCGUAACCAAAGACGGCGACAACGACCCACAAGCAAAGAUAAGCAGGGGCUAGGUCGAACUGAGCCUGGAUCAGGAUCACAUCGUAUAACUCCAGUAUAAACAAAAGCAAAUUCUCCGGUUGUGUUUGUACCUGACAAGUUGAUUCAUCUCGCACGUAACGUAACGUAACGAAUGCGGUUCGCUCGGGGAGAGCGAUGCGCGAAUGGUGUUCGAUGAAAUGCCCCCCACCGCACCCCCCCCCCCCCCCCCCAAGUCCAACAGGCUCGUCCAGGCCAAUCGAUUUUGUUUUCCUUUCUGAAUUGGGCCCUGUCGCGAAGCCUGCCACCUGAAUUGGGCCGUAAGCCCGUAACCUAAGCUCUACGCCGAAGGAAAGCCCAAACUCUAAAAACUCCUCCACCACCGCGCGGCGGGAAACCCGCUCCUCCCCCCUCCUCCGUUCCCGCGCACAUUUUUUCGGCAUCCCACCCGCCGAUUUUUUUCCGGCAUCCAACGUCGCACAUCCAUCCACGUCAUCGAUCCGCGCCGCGUGCCUUCCACCAAUCAGGGCGCACGUCCCCUCCUCUACAAAACCAUCUCCCCACGUCUCCUCCUUUCCCCACGCCGCAAUCUCGCGAAUCCCACCGCUUCCGUUUCCUCUCCUCUCCCCGAGAAGAAGAGAGCAGCGGCAGCCAUGGCGCCCAAGGCGGAGAAGAAGCCGGCCGCGAAGAAGCCCGCGGAGGAGGAGCCCGCAGCGGAGAAGGCCGAGAAGGCCCCCGCGGGGAAGAAGCCCAAGGCGGAGAAGCGUCUCCCCGCCGGCAAGGCCGAGAAGGGCAGCGGCGAGGGGAAGAAGGCGGGGAGGAAGAAGGCGAAGAAGAGCGUCGAGACCUACAAGAUCUACAUCUUCAAGGUGCUCAAGCAGGUUCACCCCGACAUCGGCAUCUCCUCCAAGGCCAUGUCCAUCAUGAACUCCUUCAUCAAUGACAUCUUCGAGAAGCUCGCCGGAGAGUCCGCCAAGCUCGCCCGCUACAACAAGAAGCCCACCAUCACCUCCCGGGAGAUCCAGACCUCCGUCCGCCUCGUCCUCCCCGGCGAGCUCGCCAAGCACGCCGUCUCUGAGGGCACCAAGGCCGUCACUAAAUUCACCUCCGCUUAGGCUUCACCCCUGCAUCUAUCUAUUGCUAUUGCUAAUAGUUGUAGUUUGAUCUGUUUGUGUUAGUUUUAGUGCUAUCGAUGAUUGGAAAAUGGAUGUUAGAUCGUUAGCUUGGUAGUCAGAUGUCAGUGAUCUGGAACAGUAGCUCUGAUUUUAAACCAUGUGAAUGUGAUUCCUGGGUAUGUGAUGUUUGACCGCCCUGUGCCUGCUGGUCAACGAAUGAUAACUAGAUCUAAUUUUUGUGGAACUAUUUACAUGGUUGCUACUUGCAUUCUGUUCAACUGUUGUAAAUUCCUCUGUCACUCGUUGGAGUUUUAUUCUCUGAAGCAUGUGUGGAAUUGCCUGGGCAUGCUUUUGGGAAACUAUAGUCUGUAGUCUUAUGUUAUGUUUGGUUGCCCUGAGCUUGUUGGAAUUAAUCUAUCUAAUUUUGCGCAAUUACAUCCUGUGAGUAUGCUGUUGCCAUUUGCAUUGUCUUGCAAACUCCUUUGUAUGCCACAGGAAUUUGAUUUCUGGAGCAUGGAUGUUUGGAGUGUGAUACUGUGCUUAUUGGCCCAUGUAAUUUAUAAGUACGAGUAGGUUUCAUCUAAGGGCACUUUCUGGAUGGAGUCCAAUAUUUUUUUAGCCUGAUGGCAAUUUUGGUUUUUGAUCUUUGCGUUUGAAACAAAAGAAGAGUUGUGUGAAUUAGUUAGUACUAUAUAGUAUGACAGCUUGGCCAUCACCGUUCUAUUUUAGCUGAUAACUUUGACAUCUGAAGUAAGUUUUGCUUUACCUUAGUACUGUACUGUUUCAACUUUCAAAGAAGUUUAAUUGGAAAUAGUAACUGAAACACCGUAAGUAUUUUGCUUGCUAUUUCAGGAUGCUGCUACACUAGCCUGUUUCCUAUAAAUUUCCUUUGAAUCAAAGGGGGCCUUAUGUUCCGAAGGUCUAAGGAAGGCUCUCUCUUUGUUCUUGAUUAGCUUGUAAGCUAACUGGCAAGCAUGAGGUAUGCACUACACUGCUGCAUCUUUUAUCAAAGCUUGCUGUUGGAGUUGUUGCUCUGCAGGAUAUGCCAUGUGUGAAGAUGAUGACCAAACUCUUGUGGACUCUAGAAUCUUAUAAUGUUAUCCUUUGGUUCUUUGUCCAGUGAGGUUGUUUGAGGUGUAUAAUUUUUUUCGAAGGUUCUACUGCAAGAGCAUCCUGAAUUUCUGUUGGGCUUGUUUGCAUUAAACAUUCCAUGCUGAAUUGAAGUUAACUACAUUCUGUUUACAUCUUUACAGUGGCAUGCAUCUAAGCUUAAUGAAUAUUAACUACGCAACCUUGUGUUCCUCCAAUUAUUCCUGGUACAAUCAUCAACACUGUCUACAUAUGUAUCUUGCCCAACGUUUAGCUCACAGUGCUAUGUUCUUCAUGGCCGACCAUCCAAGACCUGAGAUAUUCAUCUCUGGUUGCAUGCAUCUCUGAUACAGCUUCUGCCAACAUCAUUCGCUCUCUGGGUUGUUGCUUUGAGCAUGAUAUGCCGAGCCUAAGAACAGACACCAAGCACUGUUGAAUAAUUCUUGUUUUUAUGCUUUCAUUUUUAACAUCUGCAACAUUUUCUUCUUCAUGAAGCCAGAUUGUUGGAUCAGCUAUGUCUAGGGGUUGGUGAAGAAAAGAAGCUGCAACAAACUUGUGCAGAUCCAUUGAAUCCCUGAAAAUGUCAUCAGUAGGGCUCCUUCCAGUAAACAUCUCAAGCAACAAUAUGCCUAAGCUGUAAGUAUCGCCUGCUCUGGUUAUUGUAGACCCUUCCCCAUACUCUGCAAUGUUUGCAAUCAAAGUUAGUUGUCAACCGUACCCUCCACAUGUAAAACAAAUACAAAGUGCCCCAGUACUCCAAUCCACACCCAUGAGGGAGGAGGGGGAGGGAUUAUGGGAAUUAAUGUAAGAAGUUCAGUUUUUUUUUAAAAAAAAAAAUCUACCUGGUGCAAUAUAACCAAUGGAACCUCUGAUUCCAAUUGAGCUUUUCGAACUUUGAAGAGUUUUAGUACUACUUUUCGGGAGGAUUCUUGAUAUGCCAAAAUCUCCAACCUUAGCACUCUUGUCUUCUGAUAGAAGAAUAUUACUAGGUUUCAGAUCACAGUGUAUGAUUGGUGGCUGGCAGUGAUUGUGAAGAUAAUCCAGUGCAUCAAAGAUAUCAACAGCAAUGUUGAGUCUCUGUGAAAGGCUGAGUGUAUUGCUAGGAGUGAGAUUGCUUGACUUGGGAUGAAUCCAACCAUCCAAGCUACCAUUGGGCAUGAACUCAAAAACCAAUGCCUUGAACUCUUGACCCUGUGGACCAAUACUUGAGCAACAAGUGAUGAUCUUUAUGAGACAACGGUGGCGUACUCUUCUCAGAGCCUCACAUUCAGCCUCAAAGCUUUUUGAAGAUCCUGAUUGUUGAAGGUCGAACACUUUUACAGCAACAAGUGCACUCUCAUCGUCUAAAGUACAUCUAAAAACAGAACCAUAUCUUCCUUUGCCAAGCAGGUUGGCUUCUGAAAAUUCAUUACUUCCUCUUGAUAAUGCAUAAUAUGAAACCCUUUGAUACUGUUCCUCAAUAACCAGGGAUGUUGCUUGUCUAUUUUGUCUUUGUUUGAACUUCCUUUGGUGUAACAGAAUAACUACAAUAGCAGAAACUAACACCAAUAUUGCACCCGUUGUUGGCAGAGCUAUUGCAAGAGACUUCAGAUGCUGGUUUCUGUUCUUGCUUACAUUGAGAAUGGGACAUGGAGCCAAGUGAAGCUGGGGUAUUCCACCGCACAAGUUAUUCCCCACAACCGAUGCAAAAGUCAGGUUUCUGAAAACACCCUUAACUGGAACUUCCCCUUGCAAUUUGUUGAAGGACACAUCUAAUUGCCACAGCGUUGUCAAAUUUUGUAGAGUUGCUGGGAUUGGUCCUGAAAAAUUGUUGUGUGCUAGAAACAGCUGUUGCAGAUUGGGAAUCCUAGCAAUGGUGUUGGGGAUCCUGCCAGAUAACUUAUUCAUGGUUAGGUUCAGUAUGGUGAGCCCUUUUAGGUUGCUCAGAGAUUGUGGUAUUCCUCCUUCAAAUGAGUUCUCUUCUAGAUAGAGGGCUUCCAUCACUUCACAAUUUCCUAUACUGUCAGGUAUUUGUCCAGAUAGCUGGUUUCCGGAUAGAUCCAUUCCAUUUAGGUUAACCAAGCUACCAACUUCUGAUGGAAGGGGUCCUGACAGAGAAUUAUAUGACAAGUCCAAGAACCACGAGAGUGACUGCAGCUCAAAAAUUUCUUUGGGGAUCGAACCAUUUAGAUGGUUGUAUGACAAAUCUAGAACAAACAGUUUUUUUAGAUCCCCAAGGCUUGGUGGGAUUGGGCCUUCCAAAUUGCAGUAGAAUGCGUAUAUCCUAUUCAAAUUUGUAAGAUUUCCAACAGAUGCCGGUAUGAGGCCUGACAGGCUGGUAUUGUACAGGGAAAUUUCAACCAAGUUUGUUAGCUUCCCGAUGCUUUCAGGAAUCACUCCAGAUAAUAUGGAAUUGAACCCCAGAUCGAGAAAGCUCAAGCCUACCAGAUUGCCAAUGUCCUCAGGUAUGCUCCCCGAGAUAUUGUUGUUAUCUAAAUUGAGCAUUUGUAGCGUCGUUGACAGGUUCCCAAUUGGCCUUGGCAGCUGCCCACUGAAAGAGUUGUUAGCGAGGACAAAUUCUUGCAGCUGGCUGCAGUUUGACAGUGAAGUGGAAAUUCCCAGCCCUUGGUGUUAUCUGCCUCAAGUUGAUUUCCUACCAAAUACAAAUACUGAAGAUAUUGCAACCUCCCCAAGUUGGGAGGCACAAAUCCGGUGAAUUUGUUGUCUGAGAGGUACAGAUCCGUGAGUGUUGAAAGAUUGGAGAGAGAAUGAGGGAUGACUCCUGUAAACCGGUUAACAUCCAAUCCAAACACUUGUAUACCGGGAAGCAUGCGACCAAUGUCAGAAGGGAUGCUGCCAUGCAGCAUGUUAUUGCCAACCUGGAGCAUCAUCAGCGACGACAAAUUGUACAGAGAUAGCGGAAGUUCGCCGGAAAGGUUGUUUGCAUUGAGAAAAAGAUAACGCAGACCUGCGAUAUCGCCGAGGCCUGGAGGGAUGAGACCCUCAAGCUUGUUGUAACUCAGAGACAAGUGCUGCAACGACGAAAGGUUGGCUAGCGAGGCCGGGAUCUUCCCUGUUAAGCUGUUCUUCCUGAGCUGAAGCUUCUUGAGCCGUGGCAGCGUGUUACCGAGCUCCGGAGGAAUUCGCCCGCCAAGCUGCGGGUUGGACUGGAUCCGCAGGAUUGUCAAGCUGAUGCAGGAGCUCAGAUUAGCAGGGAUCACACCUGAGAUGGAGUUGUGGUCCAUAUCGAGGACCAGGAGACGCCGGAGCCGGCCGACGGCCGGAGGUAUCUCGCCGUGCAGCUGGUUGGAGCUCAGGUUGAGCCGCCGUAGGAAGGUGAGGUUCCCGACGGCCGGCGGGAGCGUGCCGGUGAGGUUGCUCGACGGCAGGUCCAGCGCCGCCACCCUCGUCGGCCACCGGUGGCUGCAUGUCACGCCCUCCCAGCCGCAGAAGCUGGCGCUGGUGUUCCAUGAGGCGAGCGCGCUUGAGCUGCUCCCGCUGAGCCCUGCCUUGAGAGCAAGCAGCGCCGGCUCAUCGCUUGCCGUGCCGGUGCCGAUCGUCAUCAGGACGCAGAGGAGGGACAAUGCAAGCCUCAUCCGACGUAUCGCCAUGUGGAUUCUUGGUUCGGUUUGAGGGAGCGUUCUUGGAGCAGAGUUUAGUUAACACGACUAGCUAUUUUAGUUAAAUGGAGAUACUAGCAUAUCUCUGUUUCCUGCUGAUCACCAGUACCAGUACAUUUUUCUUUUUCUUCUUUUGGAAGAUUUCACCUGACUUUGUUGACCUGGUUGGGACUGGUUCUCAGUUGCACUAGGGCCCGCCCGGUUUAGUUCUCAAAAUAAAAAUUUUAACUCUGUCACUUUGAACAUUCGGAUAAAUAUAUGAAGUAUUAAAUAUAAAAAAAAUACUAAUUAUAUAGAUUAUGUGUAAAUUAUGAGACGAAUCUUUUAAGUCUAAUUACAGUAAAUAUUUGCUUGUUAAUGAUAAAUUAAUUAUGUUUAAUAAAUUUAUCUCAUAGCUUACUAUCGGAUUUUGUAAUAAGUAUUUUUAUCAGUGCCGGACAUUUGCUAAUGCUGGACUAUUAGAAGCAGUGUACAUUCCACUAUGCCACCAAACGCAAGUGGUCGGUCAGGAAAAGUGACAAAUACUGCCAACAUGCCGUGAGAAUAUCUUAUGACAAACUAGUGUUCCUUUUCAGCGACCGUGGCGACGAAAGGAAAAAAUUGACUUGACUAGAAUGCUAAAUGAUUAAGAAGGUGUGUUGGGGGAUUAGAACGUAGAUGACUUAUUAAUAUAUGAUUAAUUAAUUAUUAAUUAUUUUAAAUUUAAUUAAUUAAUUAAUAUGAUUUUUUUUGAAAGAAAAAACGAGGCUAGCACCUCCUGUGACGCCGCGACCUCUCAGAGACGGCGAGCUCGAGCUUUGGUGUUGGGACUCUGCCGAGCAUUCGUGCCGUGCAUAUCUGGAAGGAGAUUUGACUGAACAGGGAGCCACUUCGCCGUCACAAAGGACUAGAUUUGCGUUGGUUUUAAUAGCUGUCUUACAGCUAAGUGAUGUAGAUGAAACUCGAUCCAUAACUGAGGGACAAGAAGUGAACUUUUUUUCAAGCUCUGAACAUAUGGAUUGCAUUUCGAGGAACAUGAAGGAAUUAACCAGCCCACUGAGGUCCAUAAGUAAACACGAUGUAGACAUGUAGUACACAAAUCCAUAGGCUCAGCCCAUUUUGUACUGUAUAGUCCAAGCAGGCUCAAAGCUAGAUUCUUUACCAGCAUGAAACUUCAGAUGAAGUUCGUGUAGCCAGCAACAUCCAAGUAAGCAAGAUAAACAUCCAGUGACACAAGUCACAUUAAAGCAACAUUCAAGCAAACAAGCAAAAUUAGUAUACCAACUCACUAGUUCAGUUUCACUAGAUAGAAAGCAUACCACAUGACACAGCACUGCAUUCUUAAUUACGUACACACCACAAGACUGGAGAGGAAGGACUACAUCAUCGUACACACGCCAUAGAUGUCUCAAAACAUCUUUAUUCUUAGCACUUAUUUAACUAGGAUGCAUUUCUUCAGUCUCAGGUCUUAGAUCACAAACUCAGAGGAAACACAAAGUUACAGUGACAACAACUCAUCACUUGUAACUGGAUCAAACUACUAGCUUAGCAGUACUAGGCCCUUCCAUCUCCUUGGUUUCGUCAGGAGGUUGCUUGCUUCACUUGCCGCAGUUGCAGGGGUUGCAGGUGCAGUUGUCGCCGCACUUGCACCCGUUCUCUGCUCCUGCUCCGGCGGCGGCGCCGGCCUCCAACCCCUCGGCAUGACUGCAUCCAUCAGAGAAUCAGCCAACCAUAGAUCAGUAAUUAAUUAGAACUCAGCGAAACAUGAAACAAUCUUGGAUUGUUGCUACGCAAUUUUCAGAGUAAAAGGCAUCAUCGUUUUCUUCAGAUAAAGGGGAGAGUUUUUGUCAUAACGUGCAUGAAGUUUUUAGUCGUUUUCCUUACGCUGUAGCUAGCGCUGCAAUUUUGUCAUACGUACACGUAAAAUGGAAGGCAGUGAGCCUCUUGACUCUCGACAAAAUGUUUUGUUCUUUGUGACUCAGAAGGAAAAAAAAAAGGCAGGAAACAUAUGACAAUUGACAAAAGAGGUUGGUAGCUAGAAAGAUGGAGGUACUCAAUUCUGUUCUAUUAGAGUAUAUGAUAGUUAGAGUAGGAUAAGAUUGAUUUACAUGGACUUCUUUCAUAUCUAUAAUCUUUUCUUAUCUCUACACUGUACUCCUAUAUAUACUGCCCCCUGAGACUCAUUGUAUUACAAUGGUGUCGAUAAUCACAAUAUUUCCCUCUCCCUAUACUAUUCUACAAAUUCAGUAACACAUGGAUUUUGCCAAUGAAUCACAAGUACAUGACAUGGAGAAGGAAAGGAUUAGUGCACAUACCCC
rnacentral:lncRNA from 1 species